rnacentral:misc_RNA from 1 species
AGUCGUAACAAGGUUUCCGUAGGUGAACCUGCGGAAGGAUCAUUCCAAAACAUACAACUGCAAAUGUCUCUGCGCCUUGAACUGGGCAAAGAGCAUUUGCACUUCAAUCUACACGCCGAAAACCCAACUUUUACAGUUUGCUUUUCUGAUGCGCCAUUUGAUCGGUGCUUCAAAAAGUUUUUUGAAAACAAAACCCCUUUGAAUUAUGUAAAGGAUCAUGACGGUGGAUACAUUGGUUUCUG